rnacentral:rRNA from 1 species
UACGUAGGUGGCAAGCGUUAUCCGGAAUUACUGGGCGUAAAGCGCGCGUAGGCGGCUUUGUAAGUCGGAUGUGAAAGCCCUGGGCUCAACCUGGGAAGUGCAUUGGAUACUGGCAAACUUGAGUACGGGAGAGGAUAGUGGAAUUUCGAGUGUAGGGGUGAAAUCCGUAGAUAUUCGAAGGAACACCGGUGGCGAAGGCGGCUAUCUGGACCGAUACUGACGCUGAGACGCGAAAGCGUGGGGAGCAAACAGG